GUUUCUAUAAGUUUUCUUUGAAAACUAUACAUAAAAUGAAAUGUUCUAAGGAAAUAUUCUUUUAGUCACUUAAAUUAAUAUUUAAUUUUUACUAUGUGCCAGGUGCUAUAUCAGGAACUAAGGAUAGAGUAAAUAAAACAGGACUUCCAGCCCUUAACAGUGCUCACAGUCUAGUUUCUGAGACUUCUCAUUUUGACUCUGAAGGUUUACUAGAACUGAACUUGUAAAACCAUCUAGUCCCAGAGCCCACUUCGGGGCGCAUCUUUGGCAGCCUGUCAAUCUUCUUGAGCUGUUUACCGCUUGCAUAUCUCUGGAUAGUCACUGUUUUUACUUACAUCUUUUUUUCUUCCUUUUUUGGCAGUUGUGGGGUUUGAACCCAAGCCCUUCACACUGAGCUACAUCUCCAGCCCUUUAUUUUGACUCAGGGUCUCAUUAUGUUACAAAGUUGUCCAGGUGGGGGCCAACUUGUGAUUCGCCCUGCCUCAGCCAGAAUGCUAGGAUUAUAGUCAUGUAUCACCAUACCAGCUGGUUUUACUUAAGUUUUUUCAUUUAUUGGUAUAAAGCAGUAUAAAUUAUUUUCUUAGAAUCAGAAGAAUAUUCUCCUUAAUUUUUUAUUCCUAUGCCCUAUAGCACAGUUUUCAUCCUACUGUUCUUUGGUUAUUUUGUGGUUCUUUUUUUCUUGAAUGCUUAAUUUUUUAUCUUAAUUUUAUUUAUUUAUUUUUAUUUUUUGGUGUGCAUCACUACAUCAGCUUUUUUGUUGUUUUGUUUUUGGUACCGGGGAUUGAACUCAGGUCCUUGCGCUUGCAAGGCAGGCAGCAAAACCACUGAGCUAAAUCCCUGGCCCUCUUAUCUUAAUUUUAAAACAUUCUUUCAAGACUAAAUUUUCUUGUGACUAUAUCAUUGACUACAUUUCACAGACUGAUACCUUUUGACAUUAGUUUCUAAAAAGUCAGUCAUUCUGAUUUUCUCUCUUAAAAGUGUUUCUUAAUUUCCAUAGAUUUAGAAAGCCAAGAAAGUUCCAUGCCCAUACCCUAGCUACUCUGCAGUGUUGUUACUGAGCAUGACCUGCACCACCACUACUUGGAGGUUUUUUCCUCCUCUUGCUUAGUACAUGAUUCAUUGUUGGAAUGGCCCUGUGGGCAUUCAAUAAAAGUGAAUUCUGGGGGCUGGGGAUUUAGCUCAGUGGUUCUGCCACCUGCCUAGCAAGCACAAGAACCCGAGUUCAAUCCCCGGUACCAAAAAAAAAAAAAGAAAAAGAAGUCAAUUCUGUUAUACAAAAAUCACUCAUUCAUUAAAUAUUACUCAGUUUUUGUAUAAGACCUGAUUGAUACAUGAUGACGGAAAUGUUGUUUACAUUGUCCAAUGUGGUAGCCAUUAGUCAAACAUAGCUAUUGAACUCUUGAAUUGUGGCUAAUCUGAUCAAAGAACUGAAGUGUUAAUUUCAGUGAGCAAAAGGAAGUCUCUGUUUCCACUGAGCUAAUGUAGUAAGAACAAAUAACAAAAAAGUAAAAACCGUGAGAUAUAUUAAAUGCCAUGAGACCUAGCAGGCAUACUGCUGUAUUUCAUUAGGGCAGUAGGGAAACUCAACUAUAGUGACAUCUGGGUAGAGACUUCAGUGAGAGGAGGGAGCAAGCUGUGUAUCUGAGGGAAGGUAUUCCAGGGAGAGGGAACAAGUGCAAAAGUUUUCCUAUCUAGACACUAUUUGCUCUGCCAAAUUCUGAAAGGUAAAAGUGCUGGCCUGUUUAUCAAGAUUGUAAUUUUGCCAAACUUUUUUUUUUUUUUUGCAGUACUGGGGACUGAACACAGGGCCUUUUGCACUACACUAUAUCUCCAUCUCUCUUUUUUUUCCGGUACCAGGGAUCGAACUCAGGACCUUGCGCUUGUGAAGCAGGCAUGGUGCCACUGAGCUAAAUCCCUGGUCCUCUCCAUCUCUUUUUGAGACAAAAUCUUGCUAAGUUGCCCAGGCUGGGCAUAAAUUUAUGAUCCACCUGCUGUAGCUCCAGAGUGCUGGGAUUACAAGCAUGUGCCACCACGCGCAGCUCUUGCCAUACUCUUAUACAUGUAACAUCUGUUUUAUACAGUUCUUAUUCAAUGCAUAAUGAUUCAUAAGUAACAUUUUACCAGCUAUGUAAUAUCCUCUUAGCUCCACCUAAUAAUUUCUGAUAUCAAGUGUCUGACUUUUUAAAUUGUUACUCCACCUUUCCACUUGUAUUUGCCCUAUAUUUUUUCUGGUAUUGGGAAUCGAACUCAGGACCUUGCACUUGCCAGGCAGGCAUGGUGCCACUGAGCUACAUCCCCAGCCCUAUAUUAUCCUUGUGCUUUCAUCCCUUGGAAUUUUUUAAUUUUUUUUUUUUUUUGUAGUACUGGGGAUUGAACCCAGGGCCUCAUACAUGCUAGCCAAGCAAGCACUCUACCUCUUUUUUUAUUUUUUAUUUUUUUUUGGUACCAGAGAUCGAACUCAGGUCCUUGCGCUUGCGCAGCAGGCAGCAAGACCACUGAGCUAAAUCCCCAGCCCACUACCUCUUUUUUUUAAAUUUUGAGGCAAGGUUUCAUUAUAUUGCCCAGGCUGGCCUCAAACUUGCAGUUUUUCUGAUGUAGCCUUCCAAAGUGCUGGGAUUAUAGGCGUGUGCCAGCCAGCAUGGGGGUUUCUCUUUGAUCAGAUUUAUUAUAUUUAAUAUAAUAUUUGUAUUGGUCUUGUUUCUAUGUUAAUUUAACCAGGAAUCAAACUUGGUACCUUGUGCUUGCAAGGCAGGCAGUGGAACCACUGAGCUAAAUCCCUGGCCUAUCUUAAUUUUCUUACCUUUUUUUUUUUUUUUUUUUUGGUACCGGGGAUCGAAAUCAGGUCCUCACAUUUGGGCAGCAGACAGCAAAACCACUGAGCUAAAUCCCCGGCCCUUUCUUACC
rnacentral:lncRNA from 1 species